rnacentral:pre_miRNA from 1 species
GGAUACCUGUGUGUGUGUGUGUGCAUUCAGCACCAGGGAGAGGGGUAUUCACUUGUGUGUGAGAUGGUGUUCAGCACCUGGGACAGGUGUGUUUACCU